AUUGAACGCUGGCGGCAGGCUUAACACAUGCAAGUCGAGCGAGCGGCGGACGGGUGAGUAAUGUCUGGGAAACUGCCUGAUGGAGGGGGAUAACUACUGGAAACGGUAGCUAAUACCGCAUACCAUCAGAUGUGCCCAGAUGGGAUUGGCUAGUAGGUGGGGUAAUGGCUCACCUAGGCGACGAUCCCUAGCUGGUCUGAGAGGAUGACAGGAGACGCUGGAACGGGGACACGGUCCAGACUCCUACGGGAGGGAGAAGUGGGGAAUAUUGAACAGUGGGAGCAAGGCUGAUACAGCCAUGCCGCGUGUGAGAAGAAGGCCUUCGGGUUGUAAAGCACUUUAAGCGAGGAGGCGUUACUCGCAGAAGAAGCACCGGCUAACUCCGUGCCAGCAGCCGCGGUAAUUC
rnacentral:rRNA from 1 species